rnacentral:rRNA from 1 species
UACGGGGGGAGCAAGCGUUGUUCGGAUUUACUGGGCGUAAAGGGCGCGUAGGCGGCCACCGCAAGUCGACUGUGAAAUCUCCGGGCUUAACCCGGAAAGGUCAGCCGAUACUGCGGGGCUAGAGUGCAGAAGGGGCAACUGGAAUUCUCGGUGUAGCGGUGAAAUGCGUAGAUAUCGAGAGGAACACCGGUGGCGAAGGCGGCAUCCUGGACCGACACUGACGCUGAGGAGCGAAAGCCAGGGGAGCAAACGGG